GGAAGUGCAAUAAUCACAAAGGGUUAAUCCAAAUACGGAGGACUACAUCAACAACACCAGUUGCACAAAUGUAUGUCUCCACACAUAGCUAUAAAGGGCCAAAGAAGUUCCAACAUAUAAAUUACAAGUUUAUAAAAAUCAAGCAUAGACCGUGAGUUUUCUGAUCAAGGGGCUAGAGUUCCGUGAGUUUUCCAUUAAGCCGUA
rnacentral:lncRNA from 1 species